rnacentral:lncRNA from 1 species
UGGACACACACCAGAAAAGGCAGCUUCACUUCGUACUUAUAGGGAUGGUAGAUUAAUAACUGAAAACAUAAACGGCCAAGAGUUCAAUCCUCAACAAGAGAGAAGUGGAUCGGAAUGUGCGGGCCGGAAUAACGUAGAUGUAUGUUUUGACGGAGGUAUUAUUUAUUAUUAUUAUUAUUAUUAUGAGAUUAUAGAGUAUGUACAUUGUACACUAUAAAAAAUACUGACAUAUUUCGCAAGACGGGUGGGCCACUGUUGUACGUGAGAAGUUGGGAAAGUAGGUUAUAUAGAGAGAAAUUAAUUUAUAUUUGUACGCAACGAAAAACCAUAUUGCUAACGAAAAACGAUUAAGAAAAAAAUUCGGUUAUACAUGUUUCGAAAGACCGUAAUAUUUAUGAUUUUCAUUAAAAUUUUAUAAUACAAUUCUUUUAAAAAAAACCUUGCAUUAAAUUAAAUUUUUUUUUGAACACAAAGUAUGACUUAUAAUGAACAUACUUGUAAAUUUUCAAGCAUUUUGGUUUUUCUUUAUCAUGUCUAGAAAAGGUAAUUAUAAGUUUUCUAUCCAAAUUUCAAGUCCUUACGAAUAUUUUUAAUUGCAUUAUAACAAAAACACAAAAUCGAAAAAAUAAUAAAAGCAUUAUUUUCGUAAAUUUUCUAAUUUUUUUCCAAUUAUUAUGAAAACAGCUUAGAAAAUCAAAAAAAUACUUAUUUGAAAUAUCAAAUAGUUAAAAUUAAGGUGCUUAGCUUGGUACACCGGAAUGAGGAUUCUGGUAGAAAAGUUGCUCACAGACAUAAAAAAAAAUAAAUAAAAUAAACUUUAUAAUAAUCUUUAUAAAACCAUAAGCUUCAUUUUUUUAUUCAGAAUCUAAACCAACCAAAAACAAAUUUACUUAAAAUCCUUCGAAAAAAUCGCUGUCCAUGAUAAAAAAAAAAUCAUUCUGUAUAAUGUAUACCUAAUUAUAUAUUAUAUGUUUAUUCAUAGGAGAUCCUCGAUUAAAUCAACACUUUGGCAUCACAUUGUACCAUACUAUGUUUACCAGGUUUCAUAAUUACAUCACCGGUCUGUUAAAGCGUGUAUGUUCUAGAUGGACAGACGAAAUUCUAUAUCAAGAAACCCGAAGGAUCAUUGGUGCAGCAAAUCAGAUAAUGGUUUAUCGAGAUUAUUUGCCUAUUUUACUUGGUAUUUAUUUUUUGAACACUCACCAAAUUUGAUUGAAGCUAAUUUCUUAUAAAAUAUUUUACUUUGAAUUAUUAAAAAUAUAUAUUUUUUAUUUUCUAAACAAAUACUUAAGUGCCUAUUAAAAAAAUAAAAUUGAAUAUAAAUUAGUUUAAAAUUACUAAAACUGAGUUGAUUAUAAUUGAUUAUUGAUAAAUUCUUUUCACAGGGAAACAGUUUACAGAACGUGUUGGUUUAGCUAUUUCCAGGGGUAGGAAAACUAGAUAUGAUCCAUUGCUCAUGCCUCAAUUAAGCAUAGAAUUUACGGCAAGUGCUUUUCGA